UGUCUAAGCGACAGAUUCGAACCUUCAAAAUGGUAAGGUGGAGCUAAAUGGAAGUCUAUGUCUGUAUCUGUAAGAUCUCUUCAUGAAAUCGAGUUAAUUCAGUUCCAUGCUUUAUUGAAGGCACUUGUUUGAAAUUGUUGUUGUGUGUUUGUUUGUGAGUAGGAGAAAGCUCCUUAUGUUGCUAAGGCUGCCACUAAGAAACAAGAAUUGUUGAUUUUGUCAUUGCUCUGUUCCGAGUAGACUUCACUGGAAGAGGAGAACUUGCAGAGCGCCAGUGAUAGCUGAUCCCGGUGGUGGGGUAUUCAUAUCAGAUUAAAAAAAAACAGCAGGAGGGCAUGUUCUUGCUCAUGCAGCAACUGUGAGAUUGAUGUUUAGGAAGGGCAAGGGGGAAUAGUGUGUCUGCAAAGUGUUUGAUGCACCGAAUCUGCCCGAGUCAUAAAAGUAUACAUAUACAGUAAUAAAAUUAUAUUCAUUACUUUAAAAUAAGCAGAUUAGUAUCUGGUUAUUUCUUCAAAGCAUGUAAGAACUCUAAUACAAGCCAAUUCAAAUGCCGUGAAGCUCAGUUGUGAACUUCUG